AUUGAACGCUGGCGGCAGGCCUAACACAUGCAAGUCGAACGAGUGGCGGACGGGUGAGUACUGUCUGGGAAACUGCCUGCUGGAGGGGGAUAACUACUGGAAACGGUAGCUAAUACCGCAUACCAUCUGAUGUUCCCAGAUGGGAUUAGCUAGUAGGUGGGGUAACGGCUCAACAAGGCUACGAUCCCUAGCUGGUCUUAGAGGAUGACCAGCCACACUGGAAAUGAGACACGGUCCAGACUACUACGGGAGGCAGUAGUGGGGAAUAUUGAAAAAUGGGCGCAAGCCUGAUGCAGCCAUGCCGCGUGGAUGAAGAAGGCCUUCGGGUUGUAAAGUACUUUCAGCGGGGAGGCGUUACCCGCAGAAGAAGCACCGGCUAACUCCGUGCCAGCAGCCGCGGUAAUAC
rnacentral:rRNA from 1 species